UCAUAACAGUAGUGCGUUAGCGAUUGCAGCGGCAUCCUUUUUUAUGUCAGUUCGAGUGUUUUGUGAAGUAUGAGCAAAAUGUAUCGAGAACCAAUAAAAAAGAUAUAGCGAAAAGCGCGACCCCUU
rnacentral:sRNA from 1 species